GAUGAACGCUGGCGGCGUGCCUAAUACAUGCAAGUCGAGCGAACAGACGAGGAGCUUGCUCCUCUGACGUUAGCGGCGGACGGGUGAGUAACACGUGGAUAACCUACCUAUAAGACUGGGAUAACUUCGGGAAACAGGAGCUAAUACCGGAUAAUAUAUUGAACCGCAUGGUUCAAUAGUGAAAGACGGUUUUGCUGUCACUUAUAGAUGGAUCCGCGCCGCAUUAGCUAGUUGGUAAGGUAACGGCUUACCAAGGCAACGAUGCGUAGCCGACCUGAGAGGGUGAUCGGCCACACUGGAACUGAGACACGGUCCAGACUCCUACGGGAGGCAGCAGUAGGGAAUCUUCCGCAAUGGGCGAAAGCCUGACGGAGCAACGCCGCGUGAGUGAUGAAGGUCUUCGGAUCGUAAAGCUCUGUUAUUAGGGAAGAACAAAUGUGUAAGUAACUAUGCACGUCUUGACGGUACCUAAUCAGAAAGCCACGGCUAACUACGUG
rnacentral:rRNA from 1 species